AGGAGUCUUUGUAAGGUUCCUGUGUAUCCAUCCCAGGCUUGCUCCUCUCUGUGGAUUCUGGAAACAUCCUUGCAUCCUGUUUUUCCUUAACCCCGUCCUC